UUACUUGUAAUUUAUUGGCAUUUCUAGCUGGAAAGAACAUAAGAAAGGGACAAAUUUCUGUUCUUGGUCUCUCUUAUUAUUAAAAAAAGAUGGCAAUAGAACAUUUCAUAAAGCUGUAGUGACCUCUUAAACAAGCCUGGUUCAAGGCCUUAAACAAAAUCCUGCCUAUGACAACUUUGAGUUUGAAUAGCUGUGGCAAAAGCUGAGGAAUAGGGUGGGCUUACUUCCUCAUGUUCUUUACAAAAUGAAGAUAGUAAUUAUGCAUCCAAUUUUGGUAUGUUACAAAAUUAGCUGGCUCUUAUUUAGAGUUUAUGGUGUACAUGGUAUUGUUGGAGAUGCUUUACGUAAAUCAUUUGCUUUAAUCCUUGUAACAACCCUACUGGUCUUGUUUUGCAGAUGAGGAAACUAAAGCAUAGAGGGGAGCAGUUUGCUCACAGGCUGUGAUCUGCAUGACUGCAAAAUCUUUUCUCUGAGGCAUGUUAUAAAGUUUACAUACCUUGGUAGAUAUGGUGAAAUAUUUAAGACUAAGACUAUACAGGAAUCUGACAUGUGGAGGAACAGUACUCAAUAUGCGUAAGAGCAUUUAAAGGGUGGAGGCCAAAGGCACCCAUACAAGUGUGAUUGGAGACUGGAGAAUCAGUGUAGGAGUUCUGUUAAAGCUUCAAAGGACACGGCUCUCCUCAACUGGGUAUUCGUACUUUAAUGACUCGACCCUAAAUGAGAAAACACAGAAUCAGUGAAUCCUGUCUCAACUUCUUACGGCACUUUCAGCAUACACCAGAUAAUUUAAAAUUCCGUUAUAACUAGUUUGGGUUGCUUACAGUUAUCGUUAAUGAUACAAAGCAACUUAACCUUUGAAUAUUCCACAACAGUUUUACAAAAAAGGCUGUUGGAAUUUUGAUAGAGAUCACAGUGAACCUAUAGAUUGUUUUGGGUAGUACUGUCAUUUUAAUAAAAUUACCUUCCAACCCAUAAUAGCACAGAUGUCUUUUCAUUUAGUGCAGCAACAUUGCUGCAGUUUUCACCGUACGAGUCUUUCACCUUCUCGGUUGAAUUUAUUUACAGAUAUUUUAUUCUUUUGGAUUCCACUGCAAAUGGAAUUGUCUUCUUAAUUUGCUUUUGAGUUGUAUAUUCAAAAACAAACAAAUGAAUUUUUGCAUUGAUACACUGUGAAAUGUUGCUGAAUUUAUCAGCACUAGAGUUUUGGUAGAUUUCUUGGAAUUUUCUACAUAUGGGAUAACAUCACCUGUGAAUAGAGAUAGUUUUACUUCUUCCUUUCCAAAUUGGAUUCCUUUUCUUUUUCGUGACUGAUUACUUUGGCUAAGACUUCCAGUAUAGUGUAGAAUAGUGGUGAUAAAAGUGGGCAUCCUUGUCUUGUUCUUGAUCUUAAAAGGAAAGGGUUUAGUCAUUCACUAUUGAGUAUGAUGUUAGCUGUGGGGUUUUCCAUAAAUGCUUAUAAAGUUGAAGUUCGUACCACUCUGUUCUACUUAUUCCUAUUCUUUGGUCCCUAUUUUUCUGAGGGCUUUUAUCAUAAAAGGGUGUUGGAUUUUAUCAAAACCUCUUUCUGCAUCAUGUGAAAUCAUCAUGUAGUUUUUCCCUUUUGUCUUCUUAUAUAUGUGUGUAUAUCCUAUAUGUAUGAUAUACACAUUGUGUGUGUGUAUGAUAUAUACUACAUUGGUUGAUUUUCUUAUGUUGAACUACCCUUGCAUUCCUGAGAUAAAUACCACUUGGUCAUGGUAUAUAAUCCCUUUACUGUGCUGUUGUAGUCUGCUGGGAAUUUGUUGAGGAACUUUUUCAUCUAUAUUCAUAAGAACAUAUGGCGUUGGAAAGUUUUUUGUUUUUGUUUUUUUUUUUACCGAUUUAAUCUGUUAUAGGCCUGUUCACAUUUUCUAUUUCUUCUUGUGUCAGUUUUGGUAAUUUGUGUGUUUCCAGGGAUUUGUCCACUUUCCUCUAGUUUAUUUAAAUGUUGAAGUACUAUUACUCCUUUUUGUUUGUUUUACUUAUUUGAGGUUGGUAAUAACUCCCCCACUUUCAUUUCUGAUUUUAGUUAUUUGCAUCUUCUUUUUUCCUUAGUCUGGCUGUAGGUUUGUCAAUUUUGUGGGUCUUUUCAAAGAACCAAUUUUCUAUUUCCUUGAUACUAUUUUUAUGUUCUCUAUUUUAUCUCUGCUCUAGUUUUGAUUUCCUUCGUUCUGCUAGCUUUGGACUUAAGUUUGCUCUUUUUUUUCUAGGUCCUUAGGUGUGAUGUUAGGUUGUCGAUUUGAGAUCAUUUUCUUUUUCUUUUGUUUAGCUCAAUUAAUUGUUAUCUUUAUUAUUGUUACUAUUCUUGACAUUCUUAAACCAACCAUUGCAGAAGUGUGCUAUUGGCUUGUGGUUAUGAGUAUAUACACAAUUUUUUGUGUGUGUGAUAAAAUAUAUAUAACAAAGCUUACCAUUUUUUUUAAAUGUAUAAUUCAGGGGCAUUAAGUAUAUUCAUAUUGUACAACCAUCAUGACUUGCCAUCUUCAGGAUUUUUCAUCAUCCCAGCAGACUCUGUAAUAAUUAAAAACUCCCUGUUCUGCCUUCCCUUGACUCCCCAUAACCACUUCUGUCACUAUGAAUUUAUUUCAUGUACCUACACUCUUUGUCCUUUUAUUUCACUUAGUGUAACGUAUUAAAGGUUCAUUUAUGCUGUAGCAUAUACCAGAUUUUCAGUCCUUUUUAAGGCUAAUAUUCCACUGCACAUAUAUACCGCAUUUUGCUUAUCAAUGGAUAAUCGAAUGGAUAAGGAUGAAUGCAUCCAUCAAAGGACACCUAUGUUACUUUCACCUUCCUUUUGGCUACACAAAUAAUGCUGCUGUGAACACUGGUAUACAACUAUUUGGGUCCUUGCUUUCAAUUCUUUUGGGUGUUUACCUACAAGUGAAUUGCUGGAUCAUAUGGUAAUUCUGUGUUUGAUUUUUUUGUUUUAAUUUUAUUUUAGAAAGAGAACGUGAGCUGGAGAGGGGCAGAGGGAGACAGAAUCCCAAGCAGAGCUCGGGAUUCUUGAUGCAGGGCUCCAUUCCACGACCUGAACCGAAAUCAGGAGUCUGAUGCUCAACCGACUGAGCCACCUAGAACUGUGCUCUCUGAAUUCUUCUGCUCUGACAUGUCCUGUUCUACGACCCACAACAGGAGGAACCUUUGGGUUGAAUACAAUUCUCCAGUGAAGGCAAGGAUAACACGCUUAGUUCAUAGCUCCUGUUUGUCACGCUUACAUUCGCCCAGCCAUAUUCACAGGAGGAGGAUGGGUCGUGGUGCAAACGAGGUAGGCACUGCAGUUGGAAAGGAACUGGGAAAAGCAGCAGGGGAAAGAAUGUUCUUGCUUUCUUGUGCAAGCCUAUGCCUUAUGUAAGGAGCUUCCAGAUGUGGUUGGAUGUGCCCGUCUCUCUCUCAAGUUGUCCAGCAGGUUUUUUUUCCUUCUAAGUUACCAACAUACCCAAAGGACUAGAGCUAAUUUAAGAAUGUCCUGGCACCAUUUAAGGGCCACUGUUCUAUUUUGGGACCUUUAUUUUUCAACUAGAUUGCUGCUUUUUCCACUGAGUUUUUGAGAUCCUAUUUUUGUAAAAUUUGGUUGGGUGCUACAGGACAAGUAAAGAUGAAGGGCUUAACGAAAACUUGCUUAUAAAUUUAGAAGGGAAAAUAAGUACUGAGAUACUCUGUUAUUACAUUCUGUCUAUAGAGAGAGAAACCACAUACCAAAGGAAUUCAGUAGAAGGAGACUGAGAUACCAGUACAGAUAGGUUUCUGGAUUUUAGCCUGAAGGUGACGGGGAAGGAUUUUAAGCAGGAUACCUUUCAGACAAAUAUGUUAUAUACUCAGUUGGAAGAGAUGGGAAAGGGUAGGCAUUAAAAGCAGACAUGGGAAGAACAAAGAAAGGGAGUUUACUACAGUAAGAUAGCUAAGAAAUGAUGACCUUGAAGCAAAGGGGCUGAAAGGUUCAAGAGACCCUAAGAAAGGAGGACUGUUAGGUAUGUUAACUAAGAGAACGUGGUGGAUAAAAGAUUGGGAAAAGGGGAUCUAGAAUAUGCCCGCAGGAUACCUAAAAUCGUAUAGUAAAGUAGAAUGGACAGGGAAAUGAGAAAAGCCGGGAGGGUGUGCAGUUAUGUAAGCCAAGGGAAGUGAGUGUUUCAAGGAAGGAGUUGUCAGUUAUACCACAUAGUACCGGCAGCAACUGAAUAGGCAGUGACACAGCUUCCCAACAAGGAGAAGAGAAAGGAUAAAGAUGAUGAAUUUAGGGGCACCCGGGUGGCUCAGUCAGUUAAGCAUCUGACUCUCGAUUUUGGCUCAGGUCAUGAUCUCACGGUUUCGUGAGUUCGAGCCCCACACGGGGCUCUGCACAGGCAGCACAGAGCCUGCUUGGAAUUCUCUCUCUCCUCUUCUCUCUGCCCCUUCCCCACUCACGCUGUCUCUGUCUCUC